GGUAAAUGAAACCCUUUGAAUAAAGAGAAUGGUUCUCUCUCUCACACACACACUCUCUCUCUCUUUCUUUCUCUUGCCCUCGCUCUCUCUUGCUCUCUCCUGCUCUCUCUCUCUCUCAUCCUCCCAGAAAGAGCCAGAUUAGACUUAUUGGAAGACUGUGCCUUGGUGAUUCAUACAACUUUCUGGGAUCUUUUGAUUAAUGGAGAAAAAGUCAUAAGAUCAGCAAGAAGAGAAACUAGAUUUUUGCCUCAACUCAACAUGUUAAGUAAUCACCUGACAUCUGCAAAAGACCACCUCUUGGCACCUGGCUACACAAGCUGAAAUGGGUAAUUCACUAAUUACUUGGGUGUGUGCCUCUUUAAAUGAGUUGUGGAGUGGGUGAAUAUUUGGGGGAUUCCACUGGAGUGAAACACAGCUGUUGAAUUAUUUAUGUUCACUUGAAAAGCACAGAACACAAAAGUCCUGUGAUUUCACCUCAGCAUUUCCAGCCUCCAUGGACAGAUUUUGUCUGGUGCUUGAGAUCCAGGUCCUGUUUCUAGCAGGCCCAAUUGUAACUUAUGACUUAACCCUCUAAGUAAAGGGCUCUUGACUGGCAGGCACCUCUCUCUGAGGACAAGAAAAUAAUCUAAUAGGAUUUAUUAUUCCUCUGAAUACUUCCAGUUUUAGUGCAAUUAAAUUAAUGUGAACAUAUUUUUCUGUGGUCCUGUCUUGCACUAGGCUCUCAAACGCUCUCCCUGUGUGUGUGUGUGUGUGUGUGUGUGUGUGUUGGGGGGAGUGGCAUGUGCACUUUGUUUUAUGUUAUAUUUUCAUAAAUAGCCAGCAGACUGAAGAGGGCAUGGACAAUCAGACCUCUAGCUCCUGGCAAGGAAUUACAAACUGAAGGAAAUCAGCUUUAAAAGCUUUUUUGGCCCCUCACAUUAUUUUUAAGCAAAACCUAACAAGGAUAUGAGGAAGGAAAGGAGGCAGUAUACUUUUCAAGGAAACUAACUUGAAACUAUUUAGAGGCAUGCUAUCUACAGUUUCUAUUAAAACAAACAAACAAACAAACAAAAAACGUUCUCAAUACCUUCCUUUCUUCCUAAGGUUUAAAAUAAUCCUUAAAGCCAAUAUAAUUACAGCAUUUACUUCCAGUCCACAUCCAUUUUGUUAGCCGUCUCCAACCUCAACCUUGCAUAUCCUUCACCACUAGAAACCACCUCAUUUUAACUGAAAAAAAACAAAAAACGAAAAACUGUAAAACAAAAGCAAAGACUCGUAAUGAUGUAUGGCUUUAAUUCUUAGCAUAGACAAACAGUUCGUUACAGAUGAGCAUAAAUUAAACGACUAACAACAAAAUCUGUGCUUUACUUGGUGAUCCUGGGUUGACCUUUUCCUAAGAUGUACUUCUGUUGUGGUCCCUGGGAAGAAAUACCUAUUGAGGGACAGGAUUCUGACUGUAAAGACAUGAUUAUAAUUCACAGAGCAGAUUAAAAGUUCACAAACAAGCUAUUCAUUUCUUCUAAACUUCCCAGCCAAAACCCCUCUAGACUAUACUUUCACAACUCCUGCAUAAGGAUUUCACUAAGAGUUCAGGCUAUCUUCCUUCCAGUUCCCACUAUACCUAUUGCUGACUGUUGGAAUUCUCCACCACUAAGCGUGGGCAGUCUGACUCACUCUAGGGUCUGAGAAUAGGGGCCUCCACAUCAUGAAGUUCAAGUCUUGUGAAAAAUAAGGAACAUUAGACAGUGUAACCACACCAGUUAAAUAAAGACCCAAGGCAAAAUCAUGCUGGGGA
ensembl:lncRNA